GACGAACGCUGGCGGCGUGCUUAACACAUGCAAGUCGAACGGAAAGGCCCUGCUUUUGUGGGGUGCUCGGGUGGCGAACGGGUGAGUAACACGUGAGUAACCUGCCCUUGACUUUGGGAUAACUUCAGGAAACUGGGGCUAAUACCGGAUAGGAGCUCCUGCUGCAUGGUGGGGGUUGGAAAGUUUCGGCGGUUGGGGAUGGACUCGCGGCUUAUCAGCUUGUUGGUGGGGUAGUGGCUUACCAAGGCUUUGACGGGUAGCCGGCCUGAGAGGGUGACCGGCCACAUUGGGACUGCGAUACGGCCCAGACUCCUACGGGAGGCAGCAGUGGAGAAUAUUGCACAAUGGGCGGAAGCCUGAUGCAGCAACGCCGCGUGCGGGAUGACGGCCUUCGGGUUGUAAACCGCUUUCGCCUGUGACGAAGCGUGAGUGACGGUAAUGGGUAAAGAAGCACCGGCUAACUACGUG
rnacentral:rRNA from 1 species